CGUAACACGUGAACAACCUGCCCUCGUGUGGGGGAUAGCCAUGCUAACGCGUGGGUAAUACCGCAUACGCUCUCUUUGGGGAGUCCCGAGGAGAGGAAAGCUCCGGCGCACGGGGAGGGGUUCGCGGCCUAUCAGCUAGUUGGCGGGGUAAUGGCCCACCAAGGCGACGACGGGUAGCUGGUCUGAGAGGAUGGCCAGCCACAUUGGGACUGAGAGACGGCCCAG
rnacentral:rRNA from 1 species